rnacentral:lncRNA from 1 species
AAGUAGUUGCCAGUACCAUCAGUCCAAAAGAUCUCUAAUGACGGUUACACUCAUUCAUCUAGCAUACAUAUCUUGACACGGCUUACAAAGAACAAGCAUUUUUUUUUUUUGGGUAAAUCAUUGAUCCGAUACUUAUUAACAUGCAAGGUUGAUCAUUGUAUGCGUGCAAAAGAGGUUUUCAAAGAUACAAGUGAGAUAUGAUGCUGGAUUCUUUGUUUUGUAGGCAUCACAAGGGUCUUGCUUUGAAACGCUUGAAGGGAUGGUAAGAAAGAUGAAGAAAUUCAGUUGGCUAGGGUGUGGAGCACCAAAAGAUGAAAGGCUUUAUAAAUAGGUAAAUACUUGGUCAUGCUUAUUAUUGUUGUGGAUAGACUUGCACAAAUAAAUAGUUACAUAUCUAGUCAUGCUCCUUGUUGCUGUGGAUUGAGUUGAACAAUUUUCAUUUAACAAGUUCCCAUAGUAAGAAAUAUUAUCGAUGGCAAGAUUUGGUAGAAUUGGUUUUCCCUAGAAGCACACUCAUGUACAGCCUAUUGUGAUUUCUUCACUAUUUGAGAAAAUAAAAAUCAAGAUCAUUGGAUUGUCAAUGGUUGUGAUGGAUGGAAACACUAAUGGCAAUUUCUUGAUAUCGAAAAUACCUAUUACAUGUGUUUGCUAAACUUUUAUAGUAUGUAGAUAAGCCACUAUUUACUUCUAAAGGUUAUUGUUAGAUAUAUGAGGCUCACAUCUCUUUCUUAUUAUAAAUUAAAGUAGUUGCACUUACCGUAGAUUGGAAAGAACUCCAACAACGAUUAAACUUGUUCAUUUAGCA